GGUUGUGGCUCAGUGGUAGAGUGCUUGCCUUAUAUGCACAAGGCCCUGGGUUUGAUCCCCAGCACCA
rnacentral:tRNA from 1 species